GAUGAACGCUGGCGGCGUGCUUAACACAUGCAAGUCGAACGGUGAAGCCAAGCUUGCUUGGUGGAUCAGUGGCGAACGGGUGAGUAACACGUGAGCAACCUGCCCUGGACUCUGGGAUAAGCGCUGGAAACGGUGUCUAAUACUGGAUAUGAGCCUCUUCCGCAUGGUGGGGGUUGGAAAGAUUUUUCGGUCUGGGAUGGGCUCGCGGCCUAUCAGCUUGUUGGUGAGGUAAUGGCUCACCAAGGCGUCGACGGGUAGCCGGCCUGAGAGGGUGACCGGCCACACUGGGACUGAGACACGGCCCAGACUCCUACGGGAGGCAGCAGUGGGGAAUAUUGCACAAUGGGCGGAAGCCUGAUGCAGCAACGCCGCGUGAGGGAUGACGGCCUUCGGGUUGCAAGCCUCUUUUAGCAGGGAAGAAGCUUUUGCGACGGUACCUGCAGAAAAAGCGCCGGCUAACUACGUGCCAGCAGCCGCCGUAA
rnacentral:rRNA from 1 species